rnacentral:tRNA from 1 species
AAGAAGUUUGUUUGUGGGGGCUGCUAACUUCCAAUUAACUAAAAAUGUUAAACUUCUGC